CAGGCUCACGCGAGCUGGGUGUUUCCUGUCUUUCUUAGUCUGGGUUUGGAGACUCCGGCGCCCUCCGGCUUUUCAUGGAAGAGAUGUCAGGAGAAAGUGUGGUGAGCUCAGCGGUGCCAGCGGCUGCGACCCGCACCACUUCGUUCAAGGGCACAAGCCCCAGCUCCAAGUACGUGAAGCUGAACGUGGGUGGAGCCCUGUACUACACCACCAUGCAGACGCUGACCAAGCAGGACACCAUGCUGAAGGCCAUGUUCAGCGGGCGCAUGGAGGUGCUCACGGACAGUGAAGGCUGGAUCCUCAUUGACCGCUGUGGGAAGCACUUUGGUACGAUACUCAACUACCUUCGUGACGGGGCGGUCCCCUUGCCCGAGAGCCGCCGGGAGAUCGAGGAGCUGCUGGCAGAAGCCAAGUACUACCUGGUCCAGGGCCUGGUGGAAGAGUGCCAGGCAGCCCUGCAACAGAACAAAGAUACUUAUGAGCCUUUCUGCAAAGUUCCUGUCAUCACCUCAUCCAAGGAAGAACAGAAACUUAUAGCGACUUCAAAUAAGCCAGCCGUGAAGUUGCUCUACAACAGAAGUAACAACAAAUACUCGUAUACCAGCAAUUCUGACGACAAUAUGUUGAAGAACAUCGAACUGUUUGAUAAGCUGUCCCUGCGCUUUAAUGGAAGGGUCCUGUUCAUAAAGGAUGUCAUUGGGGACGAAAUCUGCUGCUGGUCCUUCUACGGCCAGGGCCGCAAGAUCGCUGAAGUCUGCUGUACCUCUAUCGUCUACGCCACCGAGAAGAAACAGACCAAGGUGGAGUUCCCUGAAGCCCGGAUCUAUGAGGAGACCCUGAAUAUUUUGCUGUAUGAGGCCCAGGAUGGCCGGGGACCUGACAACGCACUCCUGGAGGCCACGGGUGGGGCGGCCGGACGCUCCCACCACCUGGACGAGGACGAGGAGCGGGAGCGGGAGCGGAUCGAGCGCGUGCGGCGGAUCCACAUCAAGCGCCCGGACGACCGGGCCCACCUCCACCAGUGAGCGGGCAGGGGGCCCCCGAGUGCGCCCGCCCGCCCUGCUCCUCCCUGCUGUGCACGCAGAUCCCCUGAGAGCUCCCGGGCCUCCCACUUCCCCCCGAGUCCGGAGAGACUGCAUAAAAAGCCAGAUGACGAUUUUGGUAUUUCUCGACCAGGUGAACGGAUUGUCUUUACCCAGGUGAACACACCCCUGCUAUUGAACAAGCUGGGUCCAAGGUCUCUGCCUUCCUGAGAAUCCGAGAAGCACUGGAGCCAGGCUUUCCUGGUUCUGGAGGAAGAGAAUGAAUGGGUGUGGUGUGUAUGUGAUAACUUGUCUGCAGUAUUUAUUUCUGUGGGUGUUGACUGCCUCUUGGAGCUUCUCGGGUCGCCUUCCCUCCAGGGUUCAGUUUGUCAGCUCUGAGACGGGUCCUGUAGUCGGCGGUCACCAGCGGUGUCUGCAAGCUCAGUGUUUCCUGACUCCACCCCAGCACCCUGGCCCCAUCCCCGUGCCCGGCACAGGCCCCACGGCUUUGCGAACAGCCCAUCCCGCCCCGGGCAUCGAUCCUAGAGCUUGUUGAAGGACCACAGCUCGUAGCAGUGGAGAUCCCACCUGGGGGGUUCCUGCCUCUCAGCCGCUGUUCCUAGUGUGGCUCUGGAUGCCCGGCUCCGUUGAAGGGGCAGGCCUGUUGCCCCCUCUGCUGAUCUGUGGUCUGGUGCUCGUUGGGACCCCGCAGGGUCUGGCCGAGAGCAGAGCUGCCCCUUCCUCUGCCCUCCUUGUUGACCCACUCCAUUCUGGGAAGGCUGCCUGGCCUGCUUACGGGCGUAGCGCACAGACCACUGCCCGGUGGGCUCCAUUCCUUCCUCCUCGGCCUUCUGCCCCGUUAAGCGGGACUUAUUGCCCCCAGCGGAUGCCCUGCCCUUUGCUUAGGAGAAAUUAAACAUGGCCCCAGACUCUGUUCUGGCGUCCAGACGGGACCACUGCUCACACCAGCAGCCUCAGGACGGCUCACCUGCUGUCAGCGCAGCCGUCACCUGGAGAUCCCUUCCUGUCUCUGCCUCUGAUUCUUACACAGUGUGGCGUGGCCGUCGGUGAGCAGACGGAGAGGACGUGCAGAUCCUUUUGGGUCCGGUCAGUGUGCGUGUUCAUGUUUGUUUAAGGCACGUGUGCGACUGUGGAUGAGGAUGUGUGUCCGUGGGGCCUGGGUGGCCCGCGCUGGAGCCCUGCUGUCUGCACGGCGCUCGUGUGGGACGGACGUUCUCGGUUACCUACCUCCCCGUCUCCUCCGCGCCCGUGACGCACAGAGGGAGUGGUGACGAAUGUGGGUGGUUGAGACUAGGCUGAUAGAGUAGUUCCAAGGAGAUUCGGAUGUGUGUAAGGUAUGGAUGGGUUUUGUCUGCUAUUCAAGGGAAACGUUACCAUUUUAUACCAAAGGUAUGAAUACAGGCAGCCUUUGAUACAGUGUAUUCGAACAAAACGAGUUUAUAUUUUGAAAUGGUUUUUACAGCUUAGACUUUGUACAUCCUGCCCUACUUGUGACAGUUGUAUGCCUUUAUUUUGUAUCCAGCAGCAAAGCCUACAAUAAAACUUUAAAACAAUCAUGACCCAACCUAAAAAUCAUGUAUCGGGUAGAUGCUUUUUAAACUGUUGUGUGGGAAACUUUCAUAUUAGGCCAUUUGGAUUUUAUUAAGUGUUAAGGAUGGGAGGGGAGGGGGCUUAAAUAAUGUUUUGUAAAUAUUUUAUACUGUUUAAGUUUUAAACACCAACCCUGCUGUUUGGGUUGAACUUUUUUAGAAAGUUAAAGUGAAUGUCAGUUCUGAUGUUUUCUGUAGGAAUGGAAAAGCCAUCAUGUAAGUUCUGUUUUUCAAGUGUUUAUGUGACGAGUAACUAACUUUGUGGAACAGUCUGAUUAGUUGGGGCUUCUACACCUUCUGACCAAAUGUUUCUGGCCGUCUCUCUACUUUCACAUUUCCUUCAACUUUGCACUUGUCGUUUGGAGUCUUUGCUUCCCUGGGAUAUGAACAAGUUCAUGAAACAUUCCAUGAAACGCCCAGCACAGUCCAGCCACUGAACUGAAGUGCAAUUCACAGGAAAGAGAGCAGAGCAGAGAGCCCACCUUCUACUUCACCACCUAAAGGUUGCUGCUCAGGGUGGAAAAGAUGAGUCAUUUUUCCGUAGUGUUUGAACUCAAACACUGGAAGGAAGUCUUGGGUGGAAAUGCUGCUGGGCUUGUGAAACAGCAGUCAGCUGCUGUUGCCUCCGACUGCAGGUUCGGGGUGGGGAGAGCUACACCUCACCACGUGGAACCUAAAGCCGUGAAGGAAUUGGGUAUGUUUCUGAGUUUCAUUUAUUUAAAGCAAAAUUCAAAUUUUGCAGCUUUAUGCUCUCAGACCACGUAUAAUACUUCAUUGUGCCUCAGAGGCAGCAUGACAGAGAAUCUGUCACCCCCCGUACUGACAUGUUCAAGUGCCCGUCAAGUGUAGGUCCUAUUGGGGAUGUUUAAAAUCACCCCCUUGGGUGACUUGAGGUUGGCUCCCUAAAGAGAACACGUAGUGCGACAGAACACCUGAGGGUUUGGCCUUUGGCAUAAGAUGCCACUCCGCUUCUUCAGGGACGAUCCUUUUCCUAGAGCUGCUGGAACCUUUGCUUGAAGGUGUCGCUAACUGGACCAAAUUCGAGCUUCCUGGGUGCUUUCCUCAGUUGCAGCAGAAACGGCGAUGGGAGAGAUCAGACGUCAUCCUCCAUCAGGACUUCAUGCGGACCGACACCUGGGGAAGAUACACGCUGAAGCUUAGAGGUCUCUCCUGUCAGGAGGAAGCAGUUAGCAGCGCAGCCGCCCGCAUGGUUGAGGCGGACGUGGACAAGCUGCGAGCAGCCAAGCCCCGUCACCCACACCGUCUCCUGCCCCACCUCCCGUGAGACAAGCCACGUCUAGAAAUGGGCUCACUGAGGCCUCUUAGCUUCAGCCUGAGCCAGCCAGGGAGGAACGGGGACACUUAACAUUGAAUGACUUCCUGAGUACAGACGAAACCACCUACCUUCCCUGAACAACAUUUACAAUGUUCUCCUUCUUAACCAGCAUGACGAGUUUAGUAACUGCCUCAAAUAUGUGUUUGCACUGUAAGACGGCAUCCCCCUGCAGCAGAGAGGAGAGAACACGGCCGGUUCAGUGGUAGCGGCUUCAAAGAAGAACAUCACUGAGGUUUCACUGGGGGAAGCUAAAGAUUUUGGCAGUGUUUCCCUCUGUUAGCAGCCCUGUGGCUGUCAAUUACCUUUUGCUUGUUGUCUUCUGGGGAAACGUGAAUGACUAAGAUUCCGUCGCUGAAGCUGCUGGUAGAGACACCUUAGGACAGAGCCAAAGUUAGGGGCCAGGAACUGGACAACUUGACAUUAAUACAGAAAAAAGAGGCAUUCCUUGGGGGUCCCCAACCCCAGGCUUUUUCCCUCCUAGCUGGGCCAAGUGGGGUGGCCCAGCAAUCAGCACCUGUGCUCGGAAUAAA